GGGGCUGAUUCUGGAUUCGACGGGAUUUGCGAAACCCAAGGUGCAUGCCGAGGGGCGGUUGGCCUCGUAAAAAGCCGCAAAAAAUAGUCGCAAACGACGAAAACUACGCUUUAGCAGCUUAAUAACCUGCUUAGAGCCCUCUCUCCCUAGCCUCCGCUCUUAGGACGGGGAUCAAGAGAGGUCAAACCCAAAAGAGAUCGCGUGGAAGCCCUGCCUGGGGUUGAAGCGUUAAAACUUAAUCAGGCUAGUUUGUUAGUGGCGUGUCCGUCCGCAGCUGGCAAGCGAAUGUAAAGACUGACUAAGCAUGUAGUACCGAGGGUGUAGGAAUUUCGGACGCGGGUUCAACUCCCGCCAGCUCCACCA
rnacentral:tmRNA from 1 species